UUGAACUUUGUCCAUCUUUCUUCUUCAACUACUUCACAUGACCACGACACAAUAUUUUUCGCACUUCCUAACAACAAUCUUACGGAUUUUGCUUUCUCCUUUGCUCUUGGCAACAUCAUUUUUCUCAAUCUUUCGCUCCUCGCACAAAGGUUUGAAUUUUGAUGUCGGUAGUUCACUCUCUUAUAGGCACAGUGGUUCACUGUUCUCUCGUCUCCUCUAUCAACUUUCGUGUCGGCUCCUCGGAUAGGGUACUUCUACUGAUCUCGCUUGUAAUCCAUAUUUUGAAUUAUUUUGAAUAGACUUUUGUAAGCCCUUUCACGCGGCAUAGGCAUCGAGUGGCGGCGUUGAGAGUGGCUUGGCUGAGAAGCAGGAGAGCGACGACGACGAAGCUGUAGACGGCAGAGGUUAUGGCUUGCCCUAGUGCAUCUUUAGGUUUAUUGUUUGAUUUCGUUACUUAUGUCUAUAAUCUAGGUUUUAUUUGUUUGGAUUUGGAUUUGUUGCUCCCCGAGUAUACAAUGAUUCAAUUUCAACUUCCUUUCAAUUUCUUUGUCGAUUUUGCAGAGCAUUUUUGCCUUCAUUGUCAAUAUUUAGUUCACUGCAAAAGUUUUCAGAGGGAGUAUUUUAAGAAUUCCUGCUUAGUGAAAUUUAUUCUCUUUAUUUUUUGAAGCAUUUUUAAUUUUGAAUUGAUUUUUGUUUGCUGUUUUGAAGAUUGUCAAUAGAAUGGCUGAAAAUUUUUUGGUCUAUCCUGAAGAGCAUGUUAUUUGGUUUUUGGAAUGUUGCAGUGAUUUGGAGUUGUCAAAGACACUCAUCUUCUUUUUUUCUCUUGUAGUCUUUUUGUAUGAAACUAAAAGGUUUGCUUUCUCCUUCUUUUUUUAAAUUACAUGUUUUCAUAAAUAAAUGCUUUGAGCUAUAUCUUAGCUUUCCUUAGUUGUAGUUUGUUUGUUUCUAUUAGAUGCUUGUCAUAAACUUGUAAUUAAUUGACUUUUUUUUUUCUUGAGAUAAAAGAUGAAUACAUUUGUGCACUAUUUGAAUGUCUAUUUCCUAUUCUAAAGGCUGAGUGGGAAACCUCAAUAGCUGCUGAUGUCAUAUUGGAUGAGGAAUUGUUUUGCAGUUCAAUUUUGAAAUGCUAGAGUGGGAGGGCAAGGAUUUCUUAAAAGAUCUUUUGUAUCCAAUCUAAGGCCUAUAAACGGGAAGGUUGAAUAGUGAAACUAAAAUGUACUGGUUGGUUACCAUAGCAUUCUCAAUUACUAUUUUGACUCAAAUAACCUAUGAAUUGAUUUUCCUCACUUAAAAGAUUGCUUUCAAUUUUAAAUAUUUCAAAUAAUUUUGGCAGUUUUUAAUUUUGAAAAUCAAGAAUGCCAUUGCCUCCCGUAUUGGUUCAACCGAGGAACUUUUCAUAACUCUUGUCCUUUUUUAUUCAAUAUGUAAAUAUGAAUGGCUAGUGUCCCAUGUUAUGGUCAUUCCUCAGCAUGGAAUGUAUGACACAUACUCAAAACAAGCUUUACUCAUUACCCACUGUUGUUUUUACUUAGUUUGGACCAUUUGUUGGUAUAAAUUUGCCAUCUUUGAUACUACUUUGCUGUGGAUUCUGCUGCUUGAGGCUCUGCAGCAAAAAGGGGGUUUCAAGCUUAUGUUUAAUUCCUCAAUCAAUAGGUUUAUUGAUCCUCUGAGGUAAGCUCGCUGAUUAAAUUAUUUUACAACACGUUUUAUUAUUCUAUCAACACAUUCUUCUUGAAUUUCAAGACUUGCAACAGGAUUGUGUAGUGGUGGAUUUGAUUUCUUUUAUUUCAUUUUCACUAGUUUUCUUUCUGUCUUUUCAUAUUCAUUUCCAGUAUCAUCUACUGAUUUUUUUUUUCUAUUUAAAUGGAUUUUGUGUAUUCAGUUUGAUGUAUCAGAAUUCACAACAGAAAUCAGUUCAGUUGCCUUUGCUUGUGUUGGAAGGAAAUAUUUAUAGUGAAUUCAGUGCUCAAAUCCAUCUCUCAAUUCUUCUUUCAUGUGUGGACUAGCCUUUUUUUCUCACUAGAUUGAUUUGGUUGUUUGCUCUAUAUUAGAUAAUUUAGGGUUAUUACUUGGUGGUUUUCCCUAUUAUGUAUGAGGUUAUUGGUGUGAGAAGGAGGAGUUAAAAUAAAAGUAUAUGUGGUGAAGUUAAAAAUUAAAAUUACCUGGAACUGUGACAGUGAUAAUCACUGAUUCAUUAUAUUAUCAUGGCACUGUUAACUGCCAACUCAACUCAACAUCCCUACUUCUGACUCAGUCUCUGUCUGCAAUAAGUCAUAACCUGACAAGGUAAGGCAUUUUUACAUUUACUUUAUCUAUACUAUCUAUACUAAUAAUAAUAAUACACAAAAUAAAUGCUAUGUUAACCUCUCUCUCUUCUUUACUCUCUUUGCCUCUGCCUCUAACUAGAUAAUAUCAUCACCUUCCAAAGUAACAAAAACAGAAAAAGUGAACUCAAAGACUCAGCCAGUGUUGUUCACACGUACAUGCCACGCGUUACAAGGGUGGUGAGAUCGUUGCCACGGAAUUGAGACCCUUGAUUAUUUUGUCGGAUCAGAAUCUUAAGGGUGCAUGCGGGAGAGCACCAUCUGCAUGUAAUUGUUUCAUUUGAAGUCAAUGCAUUUCACGGUUGAUUCAAAGGACAACCAAGAUGUCCUCUGCCUUCACUGGUAAUCACAUUUUAUCUCUUAAAUCUAAUCAAUAGUGUAAUGAAUAUUCUUGUGCAUGAAUGAAUGGCUUGACAUUUGAUAUGUUGCAUUUGUUAAAUGGCCUGGCCAUUUAACAAAUGAAAUAAUUAAAAAAAUGCCAGUUUUGUAAAUUAAACCAACUUAUCAGCUUUGGGUACGAAGAAACUACAGUAGAAAACCUUUUACGCCUCAAUUCAGGGGGAACUGAAUCCUUAAAAAUUUGCAUUCAAUUUAAAAAAUUCAAAAUGAUGUGAAUUUUGAAAAUUUUGGAAAACUUUAUAUUUCGGUUAUAUUAGAAUUGGGGUAGAAAAGUUUAGCAUAAACAAGCUUGAUGCAAGGAUUAUAUUAGAAUUGGGGUAGAAAAGUUUAGCAUAAACAAGCUUGAUGCAAGGAUUUGAUAAAGAAAAGUGCAUAAAGAUCAUGUGGUUGAUGAAGAUUGAUGAAGAUCCACUUGAAUAUUAUGUUUCUAUAGUUUUAAAUUAGGAAAUAAUGUGUUAAAUGUAAUGGUUACAUGCUACAUCAUAUUCGUAGGCUAGAUGACAUAUGUUAGAUGUUUGUUUAGUCUUUGUGUGUCCUUUUUAAUAUGUUAAAAUGGGUUUUAACAGGUUAAAAGGCUUGUUGUAUAUAGUUUAUGGUAUGAAUGCAUUCAACCACUUUAAUUGGUCUUUAAUCGACUGAUUUCACUUAAGUCAAGUGAAAUCAAUUGAUUGUAUGAAAAAUUCAACCGAUUGAUUUCACUUAAGAUGAGACUAUAUAAGUUGUGUUUUCGAGAGCAAAGGUCUGAUUCUGAGUUUUUGAGUUUGAAAACCUAUUAUUCAUCACUAGAAAAAACUUCUUCUCUAAAUUACACAACUGCAAGGUGAAGAUUGAAGAUCUUGGUUGAUCUUAGUGGCAUUUUGGCCUGGUGGAAGCUUGAAGAACUCGUGUAUGGUUGGCUAGGGAGAGCCAACAUUAGGUUUUGUAGUUCUUGUGCCUUUGGUUGUUUACUUAGUGUGAUUUUAGGUCUUUGAGUGUGAUUCUUGUAGGGUUAUAAUCUAUAUUUUUUUGUGAGUAAAAAAUCUUGGUAUUUUUCUUUCUUCAAAAGUGUAAUGUUGGUGUGUGAUUUGUAAAACAUUUUAAUAUAGUGGAAACCAAACUCAGGUUAUCUUGGUAAA